AAUAUUUGACAAUGGGCGCAAGCCCGAUCCAGCCAUACCGCGUGAGUGAAGAAGGCUUUCGGGAUGUAAAGCUCUUCUGUUGGGAAAGAAAUCCUGUCGGUCAUUACCCGGUAGGGAUGACGGUACCCAUAGAAUAAGCACCGGCUAACCUCGUGCCAGCAGCCGCGGUAAUACGAAGGGUGCAACCGUUACUCGGAAUUACUGGGCGUAAAGCGUGCGUAGGUGGUUUGUUAAGUCUGAUGUGAAAGGCCCGGGCUCAACCUGAGAAUUGCAUUGGAUACUGGCAGGCUAGAGUGCGGUAGAGGGUAGUGGAAUUCCCGGUGUAGCAGUGAAAUGCGUAGAGAUCGGGAGGAACAUCUGUGGCGAAGGCGACUGCCUGGACCAGCACUGACACUGAGGCACGAAAGCGUGGGGAGCAAACAGG
rnacentral:rRNA from 1 species